GACGAACGCUGGCGGCGUGCUUAACACAUGCAAGUCGAACGGUAAGGCCUCAGCUUGCUGGGGUACUCGAGUGGCGAACGGGUGAGUAACACGUGGGUGAUCUGCCUUGCACUCUGGGAUAAGCUUGGGAAACUGGGUCUAAUACCGGAUAUGAACUGCCUUUAGUGUGGUGGUUGGAAAGUUUUUUCGGUGCAAGAUGAGCUCGCGGCCUAUCAGCUUGUUGGUGGGGUAAUGGCCUACCAAGGCGUCGACGGGUAGCCGGCCUGAGAGGGUGUACGGCGACAUUGGGACUGAGAUACGGCCCAGACUCCUACGGGAGGCAGCAGUGGGGAAUAUUGCACAAUGGGCGGAAGCCUGAUGCAGCGACGCCGCGUGGGGGAUGACGGCCUUCGGGUUGUAAACUCCUUUCGACAGGGACGAAGCUUUUUGUGACGGUACCUGUAUAAGAAGCACCGGCUAACUACGUG
rnacentral:rRNA from 1 species